GAUGAACGCUGGCGGCGUGCUUAACACAUGCAAGUCGAACGAAGCAUUUGCGACAGAUUUUUUCGGAAUGAAGUUGCUUAUGACUGAGUGGCGGACGGGUGAGUAACGCGUGGGUAACCUGCCUUGUACUGGGGGAUAGCAGCUGGAAACGGCUGGUAAUACCGCAUAAGCGCACAAUGUUGCAUGACAUGGUGUGAAAAACUCCGGUGGUAUAAGAUGGACCCGCGUCUGAUUAGCUAGUUGGUGAGAUAACAGCCCACCAAGGCGACGAUCAGUAGCCGACCGGAGAGGGUGGCCGGCCACAUUGGGACUGAGACACGGCCCAGACUCCUACGGGAGGCAGCAGUGGGGAAUAUUGCACAAUGGAGGAAACUCUGAUGCAGCGACGCCGCGUGAGUGAAGAAGUAAUUCGUUAUGUAAAGCUCUAUCAGCAGGGAAGAUAGUGACGGUACCUGACGAAGAAGCUCCGGCUAAAUACGUG
rnacentral:rRNA from 1 species